rnacentral:rRNA from 1 species
UGGGGAAUUUUGCACAAUGGGGGCAACCCUGAUGCAGCGACGCCGCGUGAUUUAGAAGGCCUUCGGGGUGUAAAAAUCUUUUGUAUAGGAAGAAAAUGACAGUACUAUACGAAUAAGGACCGGCUAAUUACGUGCCAGCAGCCGCGGUAAUACGUAAGGACCGAGCGUUGUCCGGAAUCAUUGGGCGUAAAGGGUACGUAGGCGGUUAAAAAAGUUAGAAGUGAAAGGCUAUAGCUAAACUAUAGUAAGCUUUUAAAACUGUUUAACUUGAGAGAUGGAAGGGAAAGUGGAAUUCCUAGUGUAGCGGUGAAAUGCGCAGAUAUUAGGAGGAAUACCGGUGGCGAAGGCGACUUUCUGGCCAUUAUCUGACGCUGAGGUACGAAAGCGUGGGUAGCAAACAGG